AGGUACUGCUACACUGUGCUUCAUCACGGCCAUGGCUUUCUGCAAACUUCUGCUAACUGUGUUGGUACUGCUCCACAACAGUGGUGGUCUACUGGGAAAUGAAGUGAGGAGCUCCAUCAUUGGUGCAGAGGAUGC